rnacentral:lncRNA from 1 species
UUUAGAUUUUUUGAAAGAUGUGGGCAUGAAGCUGAAAAGGAUUGGAGAUGCCACGAAAAUAACAGAAAACACAGAUUUCAACACUUUUGUCUCUGUUUGGAAAGGCAAUAAGAAAAACCUUCGAAGGGAAGUUGAGGAAGAAUAUGUACCAUUUUCUUUAAUGUCUUUAAACCUGCGUGGCAAAUUUCUAACUAAUUUUGUGGUUCUAAUGAAGAAAUCUGACCUUUUGGAAAAACUGCAGCUCCAGCUGGAACAGGUUCUUGAGGAUCCUGAACAAUUCAGACUAAAUAUGGACGAAUCAGAGUUUAAGGAUCUGAUGGACAACUUGCAAGAUGUCAAAGGAGCAAUUGUCACUGAACUUGCCGAGGCUACCCUCUAUUUUCUUCAGGCUCUUGAUGAACUGACAGAAUUCCAGAUAAUGCUACUGAUAGAAUCUGUGGAAAAAAAGAUUGUAUCCCAGCAACUGAACCUGGUUGGAGGGAUCCUAGACAAAUAUUUUUGGAAUGAAAAACAGAAUUUUACUGUGGAAAUCCAGCAGUUACCUGAAGAGGAAUGGGAUACAACUGGAGCAUUAAUUGAAGAAAUAAGUGGAAUAUCCGUUCAACGAAGUGGAUGCACUGUUACCGGAUCUAUACUCCCUGAUUCUUCCUCAAACCUCUCUGCGCUAUAUGUGGCUCUAUUUGCAAUUGAUCUUCUAUCUAAGAAAAGUUUUUAAGCCAUUCUUGUAAAUCAGAGUAUUUUUGCAGAUAGAAAAGAAUCAUGCACAAAUGCAGCAGUCUAAUAUACUCAAAAUGAAAGUUGUAAUCUGAUAGCCUUAUUUGAAAGGAAGUUUGCCUGAGAAUAUCAAUUUAUAUUAGAUAAUUACUUCUUGCAUUCAAUUUUCCAUCACUGCUUUCACACAAAAUUCUAAAUCAUUUGGAGUUUGGCAUAGUAAAUUGUUCAAACUUAGAUUAGGGCCAGUCAGAAACCAUUACCAUGAGCCAUUGUGGUGCAGUGGUCAGAGUGCAGUACUGCAGGCUAUUUCUGCUGACUGCUGGCUGCUGCAAUUUGGCAGUUCAAAUCUCAUCAGGCUCAAGUUUGACUCAGCCUUCCAUCCUUCUGAGGUGGGUAAAGUGAGGACCCAGAUUGUUGGGGGCAAUAGGCUGACUCUCUAAACCAGUGGUCCCCAACCUUUUUUGUACCAGGGACGGGUUUCAAGCAGAAAAUUUUUUCGGGGCCGGGGGGGGGGGGAG